GUAGGUGGCAAGCGUUGUCCGGAAUUAUUGGGCGUAAAGCGCGCGCAGGCGGUUCUUUAAGUCUGAUGUGAAAGCCCACGGCUCAACCGUGGAGGGUCAUUGGAAACUGGAGAACUUGAGUACAGAAGAGGAAAGCGGAAUUCCACGUGUAGCGGUGAAAUGCGUAGAGAUGUGGAGGAACACCAGUGGCGAAGGCGGCUUUCUGGUCUGUAACUGACGCUGAGGCGCGAAAGCGUGGGGAGCAAACAGGAUUAGAUACCCUGGUAGUCCACGCCGUAAACGAUGGGUGCUAAGUGUUAGGGGGUUUCCGCCCCCUUAGUGCUGCAGCUAACGCAUUAAGCACUCCGCCUGGGGAUACGGCCGCAAGGCUG
rnacentral:rRNA from 1 species